rnacentral:rRNA from 1 species
GAUGAACGCUAGCGGCAGGCCUAGCACAUGCAAGUCGAGGGGCAGCACAGAAACAGCAAUGUUUUGGUGGCGACCGGCGGACGGGUGCGUAACGCGUAUGCAACCUACCUUUAACAGGGGGAUAACGGAGAGAAAUUUCCACUAAUACCCCAUAACAUCGAUCAAGGCAUCUUGAUUGGUUGAAAACUCCGGUGGUUAAAGAUGGGCAUGCGUUGUAUUAGGUAGUUGGUGAGGGAAUGGCUCACCAAGCCUACGGUACAUAGGGGGACUGAGAGGUUAGCCCCCAACACUUGUAAUGAGACACGGACCAGACUCCUGCGGGAAGCAGCAGUGAGGAAUAUUGGUCAAUGGGGGCAACCCUUAACCAGCCAUGCCGCGUGCAGGAAGACGGCUCUAUGAGUUGUAAACUGCUUUUAAACAGAGAUAAAGCACAGUAUGUAUACUGUGUUGAAGGUACUGUAAGAAUAAGGAUCGGCUAACUCCGUGCCAGCCGCCGCCGUAA